GAUGAACGCUGGCGGCGUGCCUAAUACAUGCAAGUCGAGCGAACGGACGAGAAGCUUGCUUCUCUGAUGUUAGCGGCGGACGGGUGAGUAACACGUGGAUAACCUACCUAUAAGACUGGGAUAACUUCGGGAAACCGGAGCUAAUACCGGAUAAUAUUUUGAACCGCAUGGUUCAAAAGUGAAAGACGGUCUUGCUGUCACUUAUAGAUGGAUCCGCGCUGCAUUAGCUAGUUGGUAAGGUAACGGCUUACCAAGGCAACGAUGCAUAGCCGACCUGAGAGGGUGAUCGGCCACACUGGAACUGAGACACGGUCCAGACUCCUACGGGAGGCAGCAGUAGGGAAUCUUCCGCAAUGGGCGAAAGCCUGACGGAGCAACACCGCGUGAGUGAUGAAGGUCUUCGGAUCGUAAAACUCUGUUAUUAGGGAAGAACAUAUGUGUAAGUAACUGUGCACAUCUUGACGGUACCUAAUCAGAAAGCCACGGCUAACUGCGUGCCAGCAGCCGCGGUAAUACGUAGGUGGCAAGCGUUAUCCGGAAUUAUUGGGCGUAAAGCGCGCGUAGCGGUUUUUUAAGUCUGAUGUGAAAGCCCACGGCUCAACCGUGGAGGGUCAUUGGAAACUGGAAAACUUGAGUGCAGAAGAGGAAAGUGGAAUUCCAUGUGUAGCGGUGAAAUGCGCAGAGAUAUGGAGGAACACCAGUGGCGAAGGCGACUUUCUGGUCUGUAACUGACGCUGAUGUGCGAAAGCGUGGGGAUCAAACAGGAUUAGAUACCCUGGUAGUCCACGCCGUAAACGAUGAGUGCUAAGUGUUAGGGGGUUUCCGCCCCUUAGUGCUGCAGCUAACGCAUUAAGCACUCCGCCUGGGGAGUACGACCGCAAGGUUGAAACUCAAAGGAAUUGACGGGGACCCGCACAAGCGGUGGAGCAUGUGGUUUAAUUCGAAGCAACGCGAAGAACCUUACCAAAUCUUGACAUCCUCUGACAACUCUAGAGAUAGAGCUUUCCCCUUCGGGGGACAAAGUGACAGGUGGUGCAUGGUUGUCGUCAGCUCGUGUCGUGAGAUGUUGGGUUAAGUCCCGCAACGAGCGCAACCCUUAAGCUUAGUUGCCAUCAUUAAGUUGGGCACUCUAAGUUGACUGCCGGUGACAAACCGGAGGAAGGUGGGGAUGACGUCAAAUCAUCAUGCCCCUUAUGAUUUGGGCUACACACGUGCUACAAUGGACAAUACAAAGGGCAGCGAAACCGUGAGGUCAAGCAAAUCCCAUAAAGUUGUUCUCAGUUCGGAUUGUAGUCUGCAACUCGACUACAUGAAGCUGGAAUCGCUAGUAAUCGUAGAUCAGCAUGCUACGGUGAAUACGUUCCCGGGUCU
rnacentral:rRNA from 1 species